rnacentral:rRNA from 1 species
GGUUAAGCGACUAAGCGUACACGGUGGAUGCCCUGGCAGUCAGAGGCGAUGAAGGACGUGCUAAUCUGCGAUAAGCGUCGGUGAGGUGAUAUGAACCGUUAUAACCGGCGAUUUCCGAAUGGGGAAACCCAGUGUGUUUCGACACACUAUCAUUAACUGAAUCCAUAGGUUAAUGAGGCGAACCGGGGGAACUGAAACAUCUAAGUACCCCGAGGAAAAGAAAUCAACCGAGAUUCCCCCAGUAGCGGCGAGCGAACGGGGAGCAGCCCAGAGCCUGAAUCAGUGUGUGUGUUAGUGGAAGCGUCUGGAAAGGCGUGCGAUACAGGGUGACAGCCCCGUACACAAAAAUGCACAUACUGUGAGCUCGAUGAGUAGGGCGGGACACGUGGUAUCCUGUCUGAAUAUGGGGGGACCAUCCUCCAAGGCUAAAUACUCCUGACUGACCGAUAGUGAACCAGUACCGUGAGGGAAAGGCGAAAAGAACCCCGGC